GCCCCUUCCAAUGGACGUCCAAAGAACCACAGAAGCUUCUGGUAUCACCACAUGGUUUUAAUGGCCUUACACAUCUGGUGAAUCAAAACGAAACAUCUCCCCUCUACAUCUCAUCCUUUUUUUCUUUUUUCUUUUUUUUUUUUUCUAGAUCCAGGUGAAAUUGAUUCUUCUUGGCAUGGCAGAGUUUUCAGAGUCCACAUUCCUUAAGCCCCCCCCCGUUAACAAGAUCGCUCGCUAAGUUUGGCUGUUGGCCCAUUCAGUCCGGUGCACAAAACGCCGCAGACUUAGUGCCCGGGCAACGUCUUCAGAUGUUCUCCGAACCAGAUCGGCCAUGCUCAACACCGUCCGCGUCCGUAAAAGAGGGGGUGGAAUUCGUAGAUUUCGUGAGGACCUGUGGCUUCCUUUUGCCACGCCAGAUACGCGGGGGCCAUUAGGAUGGGGUUGCGAAGGAUGAGCUGGAAAGGUGAAAAUGUUUUUCGGCCUGAGUUUCUCAACAGUGGAGGUGGAGAAGAAGGAAGAGCGACACCAGCACAACGCUGACCGUAGACUGGAGGGCGCACGCGCCUGACUUGGUGGUAGCGGCCGUGGCUGAGGCCUUGGUGGUGGUGGCGGCGGCGGCGGCGGCCGCCGGCGCCGCGGUGGUUUCCUGGGAAGAAACCUCCUGGGGCAGGAGCAGCGCCAGAAGCAGCAGCCCCAGCUGCAGCCUCAUCAACAUCCCUCUUCUCAUGUCCCCUGUGUCGCGCUUGGUGCUCAGGGGAACGAAGGAUCCGGAGCUGCAGGUGGCUGCGGGCGAAAUGGCGAGGGCGGUGCCGGCAGGGUCUUACUUACGAGGGAGCGUCACAAAGCCUGAUGCGCCAAGGGCCUUCCGGCGCCAGCCAGCGUCACAAGGCCCGACCCCGAGGGCCCCGCCCCCUGGACCCUGGGCUCCGCCCAAAGCCCGCCCCCCUCCGCCGCAGCCUCAGAUGCCAGCAGGUGCUUCCCGCCCACGGGCGACCCCAUUCCUUUGCUUUGGAAACAAAAACGUCCGUAACUUGUUGAGAGCGCCCGAGCCCCAUGACUUAGAAAUCUAAGGUUCCCCCUGUCUUCCAAGCAGCGUGUGAUCCCUCCAGAUCCUUCAAAUUGGCCCAUGUUUGUGGCUGGUCAGUAGCACAGAGCGUGACCUCUGAGUUUUGUCCCCCCGAGGUCCUCCAUUGUGAUGUGGAGAAAUCAUCUGUCAUUGCCUAGCAACUGAAGCCCCUGUCUACACUUAGGGAGGACCCACCUGCCGGAGGCCGUCUUUCCCCAUCUCCUCAGAUGCUUGGAUGCAGCCGCGUUUCGAGUUUCCUGUUAAUCAAUCAGAUGUCUCCAGCCCACACUUUGGAAAGAAAGUUCCUGACAACUUCUCUGCUACAUUAGCCAGAUUGAGUUUGUGUUGUGUGAAAUAAAAGCCUUGACUGACAGGUUAA